UGACCGGGAGACUUUCCUUGGGAAGAAAGUCACGAAUUGGUCUCACUAUCGUCUCAAAUUUGCCCGCCACUGGGUCCCCGACAGUGUGUGUG
rnacentral:ncRNA from 1 species